UAGAUGCUAUCUGACCUGCUGCGAUCUCCAGCCUUGGAUGUUUUCAGUAAUCAAAGGAUUUGGAUUUGAAAUAUUUGGAUAAAAAGUCAGUUGGAGGUUACAGAUGAUGCAGACUGAAUAAAUACUGGGAAGAAAACUGGAAGAAUUCUCUGAAUAAUUGCCAUGAGACUUUUUCCAUCCAUCUGAAAAGAUAGACCAGGGUCUCAUUUAAGGUCUCAGCUGAGGAAUGGCAAAUCAGGCAGUGUGGCAAUCCUUCAGUACAGUUGGAAGGUUGAACCCAAAGCCUUCUGAUGCAGAGAAAGAAUUGCUACCACUCAGCAAAGCUGUCAAAAUGAGCUCACAACUUUUACAGGGCUGAAGUUUGCUCUAUUACCCCACCUGCUGCUUGCAAGGCGCUGAACAUUUCCUGACUGUUCAUGGUCCCCGAUCCAUCCUUAUCGAACUGAUUGAAAACUCGCUGAAGAAAAUGAAGUGAAAAAGAUUAAUUGCUGCAAAAGUGGUCAACUUUAUGUUAGAAUUUGUUUGACUGAUAAAAUUGGUUUGUAGCAUUUCGUUCAGAAUUUGCUUGCAUUAAUUAUGGUACUUUCCUGCAUUUCCCAAAAGAUGUCAGCAUUAAUACACAACCUGACAUAAGGUGGUGGCUGAUUUACUGAUGAUCUGUCAGUAUGACGCUGUAAUAUUUAUGUUGGCUCUCACAAUGGAAAGAUGAGGUGUAGGUCAUGUCCUACUGAAGAAUUGAAUGAAAUUUUAUUACAGCACCUGGUAUCUGUCUAUGUGCAAAGCAAACACAGGCACGUCUGGGCUCAAGCUAAGCAAUUCUGAUUUAUCAUGGCACAAUUCCCUCGGCUUGUCAUGUUACAAAAACGCAGAGCUCAGUAGGAUCGAGAAUUUAAAAUCAUAAUUUAGACAUCAGGCAACUUGGCACCUUCUAAAUUGUGUCUUCUGAUUACCAGCCUUCUGUACAGUAAAUAGGGGAAGACUGUUCAAAUUUUUAUAAUGUAUCUUAAUAAUUUUAAACACCUCUUAAAUUGAAUGUAUUCUUCACUGCUCCAAGUAGUCUCCUCCCCUGUAGAGCACAGCUGGAGUGCAAAUACAGUAGAACAUAGAACAUUACAGCACAGUACAGGCCCUUCGGCCCUCAAUGUUGUGCCGACCUGUCAUACCAAUCUGAAGCCCAUCUAACCUACACUAUUCCAUGUACGUCCAUAUGCUUGUCCAGUGACGACUUAAAUGUACUUAAAGUUGGCAAAUCUACUACCAUUGCAGGCAAAGCGUUCCAUACCCUUACUACUCAGAGUAAAGAAUCUUGAGAGGCCUAGAAUAUAAAAGUAGGAAUGUACUUCUGAGGCUUUGUGAAGCUCUGGUCAGACCACAUUUAGAGUACUGUGUGCAAUUUUGGGCUCUAUACCUUUCGGAAAGAUGUAGUGGCCCUGGAGCAGGUCCAGAGAAGGUUAACGAGAAUUAUC